AUAGAAAUUGACAUUAAGGGAUUAUACGUGAAACGGGUUCUCAUUAAAGUAAACGAUUAUCAUUUUGACCGGAACUAGUAAUGAACUCUAUAGACUGUUGAUACUUUACCAGAAAAGUUUAAAGGCAGUGGUGGAUGUUUUAAAAACGACGGCAACUUAUUAAUGCACACGUAUUUCUCUUCUCAGUCUAAACCACCUGUUCUUCGAUAAACAUGAUUUAUUAAUACGGUUAUUUAAACCUUAUCCGGUUGAGAAUGUGCGAGCAAUCAGAGCUAUUUUCGUUGAGGAACAAAUUUAGAUUCGGGAUUUACUGACUUGGACAAGCAGUUGGGAAAACAACCUCUCUCUAUACACACGGGAUUAUUUACUUUCUGUAUAUUUGGAAUUUAUAGAAGAAUGUGCUAUGACAUUAAAUAGGGGAAUUAACAAACUGAUGGACGCCCGUGAAGGAACGAAGCUCUCUAUAAGUGCAUUUUCACAAUGAAAUUCAGUCGACGUGGUUUUAUAUUGCUGCUAGCGUGCAUCGGGCUGGCCGGGACUACUCCCCCUACCCUCCUAGAAUCCGCUUUUCCCUCCCAUUACGACGAAAAUCGCCGACGAGAGAUCAUCCAGGCUUUUGAGAAAACUUUCUUGCAUCUCUUUGGAUUGAAGGAGCGACCAAAGCCCAAAAAAGACAUUUUUAUUCCACAGUAUUUAUUAGAUCUGUAUGAAAAACAUAGUGAAGACCCGGAUUCUCUGGGAGAGAGCGUCAAUGUCAGAAGACGCGGGGCGGGAUCCGCCAAUACAGUUAGAAGUUUUCUCCAUAAAGAAUUGAAUACUGACGUCAUCAGUAUGGCGGGAUGCGGUGAUCAGAACUGUGCCCAUUUCUACUUCAAUGUGUCGUCCAUCCCCGUCGAGGAAUCUUUAACUGGUGCUGAGCUAAGACUCUUUGUUGAUCAAAACAAUGAAACAAAUCCAGUUGGGAACAGGAAACAGUUCAGACAUAAAAUAGAAAUUCACGAGGUUCUCCAACCGGAAACCGCGAAUUCUGAAGCCAUAACGAGGCUGCUGGAUGUUCGUCACGUGGGAGGGAAGAAUUCAUCUUGGGAAUCUUUUGACAUUCAUCCAGCAGUAUUAAAAUGGAAAAAGAAUCCAACAUUAAAUCAUGGAUUAAAAGUCCGUGUGUUGUCAUUUAAAAACAAACCGUCCACAGACUCAGUGAAACACGUACGUUUACGACGUGACGUUGAGAGUGUUGAGGAAGCGUGGCAUGAGAGACCUCUAUUGGUGACCUUUACGGAUGAUAACCGUGGGUCACGGACUAAGCGAGCAACUAGUGAUAAAAAAGUG
rnacentral:misc_RNA from 1 species